rnacentral:rRNA from 1 species
UACGAAGGGGGCUAGCGUUGCUCGGAAUCACUGGGCGUAAAGCGCACGUAGGCGGCUUUUUAAGUCAGGGGUGAAAUCCUGGAGCUCAACUCCAGAACUGCCUUUGAUACUGGGAAGCUUGAGUCCGGGAGAGGUGAGUGGAACUCCGAGUGUAGAGGUGAAAUUCGUAGAUAUUCGGAAGAACACCAAGGCGAAAGCAGCUCUCUGGGACGGUACUGACGCUGAGACGCGAAAGCGUGGGGAGCGAACGAGG